rnacentral:tRNA from 1 species
UGGGCUGGGCUCAGUGGUAGAGUACUUGCCUAGCAAGUAUGAGGCACUGGGUUCAAUUUCCAGCACCCCAU